rnacentral:rRNA from 1 species
CCCUUAGAUGUUCUGGGCAGCACGCGCGCUACAAUGGUCUUCGCAAACGGAUGCAUUCUCGAAGGAGAAUGCCAAUCUUGGAAUCUAUGCCUUGGUCGGGACAGUUGCUUGCAAUUUUUCGACUCGAACCAGGAAUUCCUUGUCAUCGUGAUUCAUCACAUCACGAUGAAUACGUCCCUGCCCUUUGUACACACCGCCCGUCGCUCCUACCGAUCGAAGAGUUAGGUGAAUUGUUUUGAUCGAUAAGAUUUGACUAUGGUCAACUCUCGUUGUGAAAUUCUGUGAAUCUGACUGUUUAGAGGAAGGAAAAGUCGUAACA